UUUCCGUAGGUGAACCUGCGGAAGGAUCAUUGACGAAGGCGAGAAUUGUAAAAAGAUUCUCGUUUGAUCAAUCACAUUCCAAAAGUGCGAGUAUAGUAAAAUGGGGAGACCCAUUUACGAUGUAUGUAUUAAUAAAACAAAACUUUCAACAACGGAUCUCUUGGCUCUUGCAUCGAUGAAGAACGCAGCGAAUUGCGACAAGUAGUGUGAAUUGCAGAAUUCCGUGAAUCACCGAGUCUUUGAACGCAUAUUGCACCUUUUGGUAUUCCGAAAGGUAUGCCUGUUUGAGGGUCAUUGAAUCAAUCGGUACGCGAAUACUUUUUGUGUAUCGGAAUGUUGAGCUUUUCGUAAUAUUUAUUAUGAUUGCUAGAAAUUGAAGCAUUGGUCUCGGCCUAAUAUAGAGACGCGUUUACGGUGGCUUGCUACCAAUUUUUCGCAACUUUUAGGUCGAAUUCCAAGCUGGUUUGGGCAUUUUCUCGAGGAAAGAAAAGGCGCAUACAAUUUAAUUUUUAUCAUGACCUCAAAUCAAGCAAGAAUACCCGCUGAACUUAA
rnacentral:rRNA from 1 species